rnacentral:rRNA from 1 species
GAUGAACGCUGGCGGCGUGCCUAAUACAUGCAAGUCGAGCGAACAGAUGAGGGGCUUGCUCCUCUGACGUUAGCGGCGGACGGGUGAGUAACACGUGGAUAACCUACCUAUAAGACUGGGAUAACUUCGGGAAACCGGAGCUAAUACCGGAUAAUAUAUUGAACCGCAUGGUUCAAUAGUGAAAGACGGUUUUGCUGUCACUUAUAGAUGGAUCCGCGCCGCAUUAGCUAGUUGGUAAGGUAACGGCUUACCAAGGCGACGAUGCGUAGCCGACCUGAGAGGGUGAUCGGCCACACUGGAACUGAGACACGGUCCAGACUCCUACGGGAGGCAGCAGUAGGGAAUCUUCCGCAAUGGGCGAAAGCCUGACGGAGCAACGCCGCGUGAGUGAUGAAGGUCUUCGGAUCGUAACACUCUGUUAUUAGGGAAGAACAAAUGUGUAAGUAACUAUGCACGUCUUGACGGUACCUAAUCAGAAAGCCACGGCUAACUACGUG